GUGUUGGCCCAUUGAGAUUCUGUCAUUAGGUGUUGGCCCAUUGGGAUUCUGUCAUUAGGUGUUGGCCCAUUGGGAUUCUGUCAUUAGGUGUUGGCCCAUUGGGAUUCUGUCAUUAGGUGUUGGCCCAUUGGGAUUCUGUCAUUAGGUGUUGUCCCAUUGGGAUUCUGUCAUUAGGUGUUGUCCCAUUGGGAUUCUGUCAUUAGGUGUUGUCCCAUUGGGAUUCUGUCAUUAGGUGUUGUCCCAUUGGGAUUCUGUCAUUAGGUGUUGUCCCAUUGGGAUUCUGUCAUUAGGCGUUGUCCCAUUGGGAUUCUGUCAUUAGGCGUUGUCCCAUUGGGAUUCUGUCAUUAGGCGUUGUCCCAUUGGGAUUCUGUCAUUAGGCGUUGUCCCAUUGGGAUUCUGUCAUUAGGCGUUGUCCCAUUGGGAUUCUGUCAUUAGGCGUUGUCCCAUUGGGAUUCUGUCAUUAGGCGUUGUCCCAUUGGGAUUCUGUCAUUAGGUGUUGUCCCAUUGGGAUUCUGUCAUUAGGUGUUGUCCCAUUGGGAUUCUGUCAUUAGGUGUUGUCCCAUUGGGAUUCUGUCAUUAGGUGUUGUCCCAUUGGGAUUCUGUCAUUAGGCGUUGUCCCAUUGGGAUUCUGUCAUUAGGCGUUGUCCCAUUGGGAUUCUGUCAUUAGGCGUUGGCCCAUUGGGAUUCUGUCAUUAGGCGUUGGCCCAUUGGGAUUCUGUCAUUAGGCGUUGGCCCAUUGGGAUUCUGUCAUUAGGCGUUGUCCCAUUGGGAUUCUGUCAUUAGGCGUUGGCCCAUUGGGAUUCUGUCAUUAGGCGUUGGCCCAUUGGGAUUCUGUCAUUAGGCGUUGGCCCAUUGGGAUUCUGUCAUUAGGCGUUGGCCCAUUGGGAUUCUGUCAUUAGGCGUUGUCCCAUUGGGAUUCUGUCAUUAGGCGUUGGCCCAUUGGGAUUCUGUCAUUAGGCGUUGGCCCAUUGGGAUUCUGUCAUUAGGCGUUGGCCCAUUGGGAUUCUGUCAUUAGGUGUUGUCCCAUUGGGAUUCUGUCAUUAGGUGUUGUCCCAUUGGGAUUCUGUCAUUAGGUGUUGUCCCAUUGGGAUUCUGUCAUUAGGUGUUGGCCCAUUGGGAUUCUGUCAUUAGGUGUUGGCCCAUUGGGAUUCUGUCAUUAGGUGUUGUCCCAUUGGGAUUCUGUCAUUAGGUGUUGUCCCAUUGGGAUUCUGUCAUUCCCUCACACUGCACUUGCAGAACAAAUGUAUUAGCCAUGGACAUCUACUAGGGAGCUCUAGAAUAGAUCAAAGUAAGAUUAUCAUUAUUUAAACAAAGGUUUUGAACAAAUAAAAGAGAACACAAAUAAAGUCUGGUAGAACAGGCAGGGUGACCGUUGAGUCGAAGGCUGAGACUGGUAGAAUGGGUAUUUGGUUAUCAGGAAUUAUUAUUACUUCAUUGUUAACUGUUUGCUUACCACAAGGACUGCGUUCCUGACAGCCAGAGGUAGACCUAGCAGCCCCGUACCCUAACCCUUACCACAAGGCCUGCGUUCCUGACAGCCAGAGGUAGACCUAGCAGCCCCGUACCCUAACCCUUACCACAAGGCCUGCGUUCCUGACAGCCAGAGGUAGACCUAGCAGCCCCGUACCCUAACCCUUACCACAAGGCCUGCGUUCCUGACAGCCAGAGGUAGACCUAGCAGCCCCGUACCCUAGCCCUUACCACAAGGCCUGCUUUCCUGACAGCCAGAGGUAGACCUAGCAGCCCCGUACCCUAACCCUUACCACAAGGCCUGCGUUCCUGACAGCCAGAGGUAGACCUAGCAGCCCCGUACCCUAACCCUUACCACAAGGCCUGCGUUCCUGACAGCCAGAGGUAGACCUAGCAGCCCCGUACCCUAACCCUUACCACAAGGCCUGCGUUCCUGACAGCCAGAGGUAGACCUAGCAGCCCCGUACCCUAACCCUUACCACAAGGCCUGCGUUCCUGACAGCCAGAGGUAGACCUAGCAGCCC